CACGUAGGGUGCAAGCGUUGUCCGGAUUCAUUGGGCGUAAAGGGCUAGUAGGCGGCUUAGCAAGUCGGGUGUGAAAUUUCCAGGCUUAACCUGGAACCGCCAUCCGAUACUGCUAUGGCUAGAGUCCGGUAGGGGAGACUGGAAUUCCUGGUGUAGCGGUGGAAUGCGCAGAUAUCAGGAGGAACACCGGUGGCGAAGGCGGCCAUCUGGACCGCAACUGACGCUGAGGCGCGAAAGCGUGGGGAGCAAACAGG
rnacentral:rRNA from 1 species